rnacentral:rRNA from 1 species
GACGAACGCUGGCGGCGCGCCUAACACAUGCAAGUCGAACGAGCGAGAGAGAGCUUGCUUUCUCAAGCGAGUGGCGAACGGGUGAGUAACGCGUGAGGAACCUGCCUCAAAGAGGGGGACAACAGUUGGAAACGACUGCUAAUACCGCAUAAGCCCACAGGUCGGCAUCGACCAGAGGGAAAAGGAGCAAUCCGCUUUGAGAUGGCCUCGCGUCCGAUUAGCUAGUUGGUGAGGUAAUGGCCCACCAAGGCAACGAUCGGUAGCCGGACUGAGAGGUUGAACGGCCACAUUGGGACUGAGACACGGCCCAGACUCCUACGGGAGGCAGCAGUGGGGAAUAUUGCACAAUGGGGGAAACCCUGAUGCAGCGACGCCGCGUGGAGGAAGAAGGUCUUCGGAUUGUAAACUCCUGUUGUUGAGGAAGAUAAUGACGGUACU